AGACAGCCAGGAUGUUGGCUUAGAAGCAGCCAUCAUUUAAAGAAAGCGUAAUAGCUCACUGGUCGAGUCGGCCUGCGCGGAAGAUGUAACGGGGCUAAACCAUGCACCGAAGCUGCGGCAGCGACGCUUAUGCGUUGUUGGGUAGGGGAGCGUUCUGUAAGCCUGUGAAGGUGUGCUGUGAGGCAUGCUGGAGGUAUCAGAAGUGCGAAUGCUGACAUAAGUAACGAUAAAGCGGGUGAAAAGCCCGCUCGCCGGAAGACCAAGGGUUCCUGUCCAACGUUAAUCGGGGCAGGGUGAGUCGACCCCUAAGGCGAGGCCGAAAGGCGUAGUCGAUGGGAAACAGGUUAAUAUUCCUGUACUUGGUGUUACUGCGAAGGGGGGACGGAGAAGGCUAUGUUGGCCGGGCGACGGUUGUCCCGGUUUAAGCGUGUAGGCUGGUUUUCCAGGCAAAUCCGGAAAAUCAAGGCUGAGGCGUGAUGACGAGGCACUACGGUGCUGAAGCAACAAAUGCCCUGCUUCCAGGAAAAGCCUCUAAGCAUCAGGUAACAUCAAAUCGUACCCCAAACCGACACAGGUGGUCAGGUAGAGAAUACCAAGGCGCUUGAGAGAACUCGGGUGAAGGAACUAGGCAAAAUGGUGCCGUAACUUCGGGAGAAGGCACGCUGAUAUGUAGGUGAAGUCCCUCGCGGAUGGAGCUGAAAUCAGUCGAAGAUACCAGCUGGCUGCAACUGUUUAUUAAAAACACAGCACUGUGCAAACACGAAAGUGGACGUAUACGGUGUGACGCCUGCCCGGUGCCGGAAGGUUAAUUGAUGGGGUUAGCCGCAAGGCGAAGCUCUUGAUCGAAGCCCCGGUAAACGGCGGCCGUAACUAUAACGGUCCUAAGGUAGCGAAAUUCCUUGUCGGGUAAGUUCCGACCUGCACGAAUGGCGUAAUGAUGGCCAGGCUGUCUCCACCCGAGACUCAGUGAAAUUGAACUCGCUGUGAAGAUGCAGUGUACCCGCGGCAAGACGGAAAGACCCCGUGAACCUUUACUAUAGCUUGACACUGAACAUUGAGCCUUGAUGUGUAGGAUAGGUGGGAGGCUUAGAAGUGUGGACGCCAGUCUGCAUGGAGCCGACCUUGAAAUACCACCCUUUAAUGUUUGAUGUUCUAACGUUGACCCGUAAUCCGGGUUGCGGACAGUGUCUGGUGGGUAGUUUGACUGGGGCGGUCUCCUCCUAAAGAGUAACGGAGGAGCACGAAGGUUGGCUAAUCCUGGUCGGACAUCAGGAGGUUAGUGCAAUGGCAUAAGCCAGCUUGACUGCGAGCGUGACGGCGCGAGCAGGUGCGAAAGCAGGUCAUAGUGAUCCGGUGGUUCUGAAUGGAAGGGCCAUCGCUCAACGGAUAAAAGGUACUCCGGGGAUAACAGGCUGAUACCGCCCAAGAGUUCAUAUCGACGGCGGUGUUUGGCACCUCGAUGUCGGCUCAUCACAUCCUGGGGCUGAAGUAGGUCCCAAGGGUAUGGCUGUUCGCCAUUUAAAGUGGUACGCGAGCUGGGUUUAGAACGUCGUGAGACAGUUCGGUCCCUAUCUGCCGUGGGCGCUGGAGAACUGAGGGGGGCUGCUCCUAGUACGAGAGGACCGGAGUGGACGCAUCACUGGUGUUCGGGUUGUCAUGCCAAUGGCACUGCCCGGUAGCUAAAUGCGGAAGAGAUAAGUGCUGAAAGCAUCUAAGCACGAAACUUGCCCCGAGAUGAGUUCUCCCUGACUCCUUGAGAGUCCUGAAGGAACGUUGAAGACGACGACGUUGAUAGGCCGGGUGUGUAAGCGCAGCGAUGCGUUGAGCUAACCGGUACUAAUGAACCGUGAGGCUUAACCUU
rnacentral:rRNA from 1 species